UACGGAGGGGGCUAGCGUUGUCCGGAAUUAUUGGGCGUAAAGCGCGCGCAGGCGGCCUUUUAAGUCUGAUGUGAAAGCCCCCGGCUCAACCGGGGAGGGUCAUUGGAAACUGAAAAACUUGAGUGCAGAAGAGGAAAGUGGAAUUCCAUGUGUAGCGGUGAAAUGCGCAGAGAUAUGGAGGAACACCAGUGGCGAAGGCGACUCUUUGGUCUGUAACUGACGCUGAGGCGCGAAAGCGUGGGGAGCAAACAGG
rnacentral:rRNA from 1 species